rnacentral:rRNA from 1 species
CGGCAUGCUUAACACAUGCAAGUCGCACGGCAGCAAUGGCAGUGGCGGACGGGUGAGUAACACGUAGGAAUCUAUCCUGGGGUGGGGGGACAACAGCGGGAAACUGCUGCUAAUACCGCAUGAUACCUGAGGGUCAAAGGCGCAAGUCGCCUUAGGAGGAGCCUGCGUCUGAUUAGCUUGUUGUGGGGUAAAGGCCUACCAAGGCGACGAUCAGUAGCUGGUCUGAGAGGAUGAUCAGCCACAUUGGGACUGAGACACGGCCCAAACUCCUACGGGAGGCAGCAGUGGGGAAUAUUGGACAAUGGGCGAAAGCCUGAUCCAGCAAUGCUGCGUGUGUGAAGAAGGUCUUCGGAUUGUAAAGCACUUUGGCAGGGACGAUGAUGACGGUACCUGCAGAAUAAGCCCCGGCUAACUUCGUG